rnacentral:tRNA from 1 species
GACUCCGUAGCUCAGCUGGUAGAGCAAAUGACUCUUAAUCAUUGGGUCGAGGGUUCGAGCCCCUCCGGGGUCAC